GCACGUGGAGGGAGAGAAUGCCCUACUGCCAGCAGCAACAGAACUGAAAGUUGGAGCUAUACAGACAGCUCAGUUUGCAUCUAAGAAGAAUGUGGAGUUCAGUUUUGAUAACCUGUCACACCUCCAGAAGAAGGGAUUUGCUAUUGAACCUGUAAAGGGAAAAGUUGAUCGUGGUCAUGUAAAACGCAUCAGCGUUUGUUGGGUGCCACCUGCUGACUUUGAUGCCAGUGCCCCCCUGGUUGAGACAGCCUUCCUGAACUUAAAAGGUGAUAUAAAGGAAUCUUACAGAAUCCUCUUUGUGGCAACAGUUAUAUCUGCUCCCACUAGCUGAGGGCUCAAAGCUAUGUGGAAGGUAAAGACUUGAUAUUUGGGAAAUCACUGGAUCUCAGUUGGAACCUGGGAAGAUUCUGAAACUGUUGCAAAUAUGUGAGGGGAGGAGGAAAGCGGGAAGGAAGGUAACAUGUAAAAUUCCUGCUUUUCUCCCCACAGAAUUCUAUAUAAACUCCUUAUCUACUAGUUUUAUUUUUAGACUGACCUGGUGAUGCUAACCUUGUAGUAUAGGGAAGAAUUAAUGAGAGGCACCAAGUAGAUACAUCUACUGCUAAUUGCAGUGUCUUCCAAAGGCAGGAAUUCCCUCAGAAGGAGUAACUUUUUACCUCUAAAUGGGUGAGUUUCAAACAACGUCUGCUUCCAACUUCAUUUGCAUUUUAAUGGCUGUGGUGGUUUUCUUUUCUGUUUUCCCUAAGACCAGAAUAAAGUACUUCAUUUUAAGCUGCCUCCUGCUAGUUUGGGCAAUGAUUUUUACAAUACAGUGUGAAAUCUUCAUGUUCAAGAAGAGAUGGUGACUAUGCUGUCUACUAAUCACUGUCUAUGAUUAGAUGCUAGAUCAUGGCUGCCCAGGAACUUUAUUUUCUAUAUUUGUUUUCAUUUGAAUUCUGACUAAGAUCAGAUUCCUGCUGGUUACUGGAUAAGCUGAAGUGCCCCAUAGGUUUAACUCGGGUCAAGAAUGGUAUCUGGUUCAGGGAUAGGGAACAAGGGACCAUGGAGUCAGCAAAAAUCCUGAGCACAGAAAUCCCUUAAAUCUUGCAUCAUCUUUCAUGAAUUACAGUAAGCCUGUGAUAAAGCUUCCUGACCGCCACUCCAACACCCUAUGUCAUUGUGUAGUUGUUAAAAUUGCUCAUAUAGCUUAGCAGUAAGAAAACAGAACUAGUUGUAAAUGUCACUAAGGUAAAUGCUUCACGCUUGCCCAACUACGAGGAGCUCACCACAGCAACUCUAGCCUUCAUGUAACUUACCUCUUGAAGAAAGAAAUAAUUCAACACUUCACCUCCAACGCAGGUUAGCAAGAAUUACUGUAUGUGGGGCGUUAAAAUUGCCAGGAACUGCUACACAUAAAACAUCAAAACAGAAACGUAAGUUUACAAGACUUCAGUAGGGAUGGAGCCUACACUGUGAGGAAGAGACAAAAAUGUGUCCUCAGAAAUACAGCUGAGUUUUCCAGAAGCUUAAGUUUUCUGCUUCUCUAACUGUACUCCUGAACAUCGUGCUUUUACAUGGAGUGUUGCAACUGUGGGUUGCUCCUGGAUCACCAGAUGGGAACUCUUGAACUUUCAGAAGUAUAUCUACAUU